GCGUCACUACCUUCAAUGUGACACAUGAAAAUUAUUAUCGGAGUGUCACUUCCUUCAACGUGACAUGUUGAAUUAUUAUCGGAGUGUCAUCUCCCUAAAAGUGAUACAUUACAUAUUAUAAUUGAAUCAUCACAUCGUUCAAAUUGAUACCAUUUUGGAACACCACUUCUUUCAAAAAAAUUACACUUGACAUUGGAUCGUCAUCUCCUUCAGUAUGACAAGUUAUACCAGUGAAUUGAGACAUAGACCAAAGAGGAAUAUCAAACUCUUAGGACGCGAGUUGAGGAACGACUUCCACCACAAUCAAAUCCUAUCUCUAUCCUAAGGCAUGUGGUUUUUUUUUGGGUUUAAUAGUUUUAGUUUCGGCUUCAAAGAAAAUUUCAACUCUCAGUGAAGGAAAAUUUUUAAAUUUGUGUGACAAUACACCUAAAGCUUCGAAAGUUAUGCUUAUGUAAAUUCUUAGCUAUUAGUAUGAAGGUCCCAAUAUUCAUAGUUAAGAUGUUUGCACGCAUCUUUUUCACUCUCAAUUACUUUAUCACUCAUCCUUAAGCUAAAGGUUACUUCCACAUAAGAGAUUUUCUUUUUAACCAAUUGAGUUAAACUACAAGUAGCCUGAGAUAUGUAGGAAAUCCACUUUCGAGGUUCGGCCAUAAUUCCUCAAAAUCCUUACCAUUUACCAUUCCUAAGAGAAGAAUUAGCAGAUGGACGAAAUUGAAUUUGUCAUUUUCGUUUGCCUCGAAUUUCUUUCAUCAUCCAAGUCAAACGAGGGGCAGUGUUGACACCCAAUUUUGACUCUCCAUAAUUGGAAUUGAAUUUGAAUUUCUUAAAUUCCAAAA